GACGAACGCUGGCGGCGUGCCUAAUACAUGCAAGUAGAACGCUGAAGGAGGAGCUUGCUUCUCUGGAUGAGUUGCGAACGGGUGAGUAACGCGUAGGUAACCUGCCUGGUAGCGGGGGAUAACUAUUGGAAACGAUAGCUAAUACCGCAUAAGAGUAGAUGUUGCAUGACAUUUGCUUAAAAGGUGCAAUUGCAUCACUACCAGAUGGACCUGCGUUGUAUUAGCUAGUUGUUGGGGUAACGGCUUACCAAGGCGACGAUACAUAGCCGACCUGAGAGGGGGAUCGGCCACACUGGGACUGGGACACGGCCCAGACUCCUACGGGAGGGAGCAGUAGGGAAUCUUCGGCAAUGGACGGAAGUCUGACCGAGCAACGCCGCGUGAGUGAAGAAGGGUGUCGGAUCGUAAAGCUCUGUUGUAAGAGAAGAACGAGUGUGGGAGUGGAAAGUUCACACUGUGACGGUAGCUGAACAGAAAGGGACGGCUAACUACGUG
rnacentral:rRNA from 1 species